UAGGAAAUCUUCGGCAAUGGACGAAAGUCUGACCGAGCAACGCCGCGUGAGUGAAGAAGGUUUUCGGAUCGUAAAACUCUGUUGUUAGAGAAGAACAAGGACGUUAGUAACUGAACGUCCCCUGACGGUAUCUAACCAGAAAGCCACGGCUAACUACGUGCCAGCAGCCGCGGUAAUACGUAGGUGGCAAGCGUUGUCCGGAUUUAUUGGGCGUAAAGCGAGCGCAGGCGGUUUCUUAAGUCUGAUGUGAAAGCCCCCGGCUCAACCGGGGAGGGUCAUUGGAAACUGGGAGACUUGAGAGCAGAAGAGGAGAGUGGAAUUCCAUGUGUAGCGGUGAAAUGCGUAGAUAUAUGGAGGAACACAAGUGGCGAAGGCGGCUCUCUGGUCUGUAACUGACGCUGAGGCUCGAAAGCGUGGGGAGCAAACAGG
rnacentral:rRNA from 1 species